rnacentral:rRNA from 1 species
CUACGGGUGGCUCCAGUGAGGAAUAUUGCGCAAUGGGGGGAACCCUGAUGCAGCAACGCCGCGUGGAGGAUGACGCAUUUCGGUGUGUAAACUCCUUUUAUAUGUCAAGAAAAUGACGGUAGCAUAUGAAUAAGCACCGGCUAACUCCGUGCCAGCAGCCGCGGUAAUACGGAGGGUGCAAGCGUUACUCGGAAUCACUGGGCGUAAAGGACGCGUAGGCGGGUUGGAAAGUCAGGUGUGAAAUCCUACAGCUUAACUGUAGAACUGCACUUCAAACUUCUAAUCUUGAGUAUGGGAGGGGGAGAUGGAAUUAGUGGUGUAGGGGUAAAAUCCGUAGAUAUCACUAGGAAUACCUAAAGCGAAGGCGAUCUCCUGGAACAUUACUGACGCUAAGGCGUGAAAGCGUGGGGAGCAAACAGGAUUAGAUACCCCCGUAGUC